AACGAACGCUGGCGGCAGGCCUAACACAUGCAAGUCGAGCGAGCAUUUCGGUGCUAGCGGCGGACGGGUGAGUAACGCGUGGGAACGUGCCCUUUUCUGCGGAAUAGUCCUGGGAAACUGGGGGUAAUACCGCAUACGCCCUUUUGGGGAAAGAUUUAUCGGAGAAGGAUCGGCCCGCGUUGGAUUAGGUAGUUGGUGGGGUAAUGGCCCACCAAGCCGACGAUCCAUAGCUGGUUUGAGAGGAUGAUCAGCCACACUGGGACUGAGACACGGCCCAGACUCCUACGGGAGGCAGCAGUGGGGAAUCUUAGACAAUGGGGGCAACCCUGAUCUAGCCAUGCCGCGUGAGUGAUGAAGGCCUUAGGGUUGUAAAGCUCUUUCAGCUGGGAAGAUAAUGACGUUACCAGCAGAAGAAGCCCCGGCUAACUCCGUG
rnacentral:rRNA from 1 species